GACCUGGGGUUUGCAGUUCUUGCACAGAACAGGUUUUUGAGCCUCUGCUGAGGUGCUCUGUCAGGUAAAGGGCUUUUUCCCCCUUUACCAGCCUCUAAUUCUUCAUCUCUUUCUCUAGGAUGGAUUUGCAGAAAACCUGCGCUAAAAACCAACCAGUGUCAUGUCCUGGAGCUGGCUGUAGGAGCCUCUAAGCCCCUUCAGCAGCCUGCCUUUCAAAAGGCACUUGAGAAACCUCUUUUGGGCCCCUCCAGGAGGGAGAACCAGCAGCUUGUGGAGGAAGGCACAAGACCCCUGAACAUCAAAGGCUGGAGCCUUCCCCUCUGCCCCCAGCCCAGCUCACAGUGGUGCCGUAUGCCCAUGAGGCUAUGAAAAAACAGAAGUUCUAAAGGAAAGACUUUUUUUUUCUUCCUACUGUGCUAAGCCAAGCCAGAGUCCCAUGGCUUCUUGCUCAGCCCAGGCAGCAAUGGGAUCGGGCGCUGUGGGGUGCAGAGGUGGGCCGGGGCACUGGCUUGGAACAGCUUUUCUGUUUUUCUCUGUGCAGCUAGGUUUGAGCGGCUGCUAGAGCCGGUCAGAAAUGGAAAAUCACUAUGGGAUGGCUUUGGGGUGGGAAUCUUUGUGUCAGUCCACCUUCUGUGGACUCUAAAGGGAAAAGUGGGCCUGUUUAAAAAUAUAUAUACAAAAAAGAAUCAGAUACGCUUCCAUAAACUUGUUUAUUUUUAAAAAUAUUUCUUGAUAAUUGCUGAGAAAUGCUUUCCACUUUCAAUAGAAAUGUGAAGAAUUGUCAGAAUCAAUAGUGAUAAUGCAGACUUACCAGGAGCUGAUCCUAAACAGAUUUUUUUGAGAGCUCUUCCAUUUAAAAGACUUGCACUUCAGAGGUCUGUUAAAUCAAAGCUGAUGCUCACAGAUUUCUGAUAGCAUGUUCAAAAAAAGGGGCUGUUAAUAUCUCCAAAGUUGGGAUUAGCUCAAAUUUCCUACUAGGGAUUGUGGUGCAGAAAGUAAAUAAAAUAGUGAGAAAUAAAAUCUGAAAUGGAAUGCAGUGUUAUUAAGAACAAUUUGCAAUUAGACAAAAGUUUCUCCAAAACUUUUAAUGACCUUUUCUAACAAAGGCUCCCAUUUAAGUAAGCUUUCUUCUAAUAUUUUUUUCAAAAAAGUAAAAUUAAACUAUUAAAGCCCAAGAGGUAGCAACAUGCUACUUCAGCCAAAUC